rnacentral:rRNA from 1 species
UACGGAGGGGGCAAGCGUUGCUCGGAUUCACUGGGCGUAAAGCGCACGUAGGCGGCCACUUAAGUCCGUGGUGAAAUCCUGGAGCUCAACUCCAGAACUGCCUUCGAUACUGAGAGUCUCGAGUCCGAGAGAGGUAAGUGGAACUGCGAGUGUAGAGGUGAAAUUCGUAGAUAUUCGCAAGAACACCAGUGGCGAAGGCGGCUCGCUGGCUCGGUACUGACGCUGAGGUGCGAAAGCGUGGGGAGCAAACAGG